rnacentral:sRNA from 1 species
AGAAUCUAGAAAUAGUUUUGCCUUAGUC